rnacentral:rRNA from 1 species
AUGGGUGGUGCCGGCGGCGCCAAGGCUUACGGCGCGGUGGUUCUCAUCAGGGUCAUGUACUCCGGCAUGCACAUCAUGAGCAAGAUUGCGCUGGAUCAGGGCAUGAACCCCUUCGUCUUCGUCUUCUACCGUCAUACCACCGCCGCGCUCGUGCUCAUCCCUAUCGCUUUUGCUCUGGAGAGGCAAAAGACUAAACCUGUGACGUUGAAGAUUGCAGGGAAGAUGUUCGUGCACGCCUUGUAUGGGGUAACCGCAUGUGGCGUCUUAUUUAACCUUGGUCUCAACUAUGCGUCCGCGACAUCAUCGUCGGCGUUGUACAAUGUUCAACCGGUGGUUACCUUCAUCUUAGCGGUCAUAAUUGGGAUGGAGUCUAUGAAGCUGAAGAAGCUCCAUGGCAACCUAAAAGUGGCAGGCAUUCUCUGCUGCGUCGCCGGCGUCACGGUGCUGGCCUUCUACGAGGGGCCAAUGUUCAGAUCUUUCAACCAUCACCGGCUCUUCCAGCACGGCAGCAGCAACAGCUCCUCCGGAUCAGGAACCUACUCCAAGAACCAGUGGGUAUUUGGGAUUUUCCUCAUGACACUCUCCAACAUUUUAGCAGGCUUGUGGACUGUGCUUCAGGGGCCACUGAUAGAGGACACUUCCAAGCUUAUGAAUACCACACUGCAGAUCUCAUGCGCGUCGGUCCAGGCCUUCGUGGUGGCUGUCGCAGCCGAGAGGGAUUUCUCCAAGUGGAAGAUCGGCUGGAAUAUUAGUCUCGCCGCUAUCAUCUACAGCGGCGUGAUCGUGACCGCGCUUUCGUACUACAUGCAAAUGUGGACGAUCGCCAAGAGGGGGCCGGUGUUCCUCGCCAUGUCCAUGCCGCUCACUCUGAUCUUCACAAUCAUCAUAUCUUCGUUCGUUUUAGGAGAGGCAGUUAGCCUAGGAAGUAUAAUUGCUGGGAUACUACUGAUUGGAGGCCUGUACAACGUACUGUGGGGGAAAAACAUGGAGAGAAAAGACGACGACACGAACAAGAUGGGUGGCGGUAAACCUGCCCAGGAGCUGCAAGACAAGGAGCAGGCCCGAGUGCCGGAUGAUGCGGCGGCAAAGGUCUGA